rnacentral:lncRNA from 1 species
UCAAGAGCAACACCUGCCAGGCUGAGCAGUGAAGGACAGACUCUCCAGUGAUGGUAAGGUAGUCCAGUUAUGAGUAUUUUGUUUCAUGGAAUAGUCAGGAGCUACUCAGGCAGCUGGAGACAUAAAGAGAAAUCAACCCAACAAGAGCAGCCCUGCACAGCACCAUGAUGGAGUGGGGAAGAUGAACGGUAUUUGAAGACCGUGGUUCCAACAAGGUCAGCCAAUUCAGUGCAGCCGGUCCUAAGGAAUCCAAGUCAAAGCAGUGCUCCCCAGUGCACAGAGUCCAGACGUUCUCAUACAACCCAAUAUCAUCUAAGAUCCAAGCUUUACAUGAGGACCUUUGUUCAUGUCAUUUGAAGUAAGCAACAUCUACGUGAAAAACACAAGAGGCAAGACAUCCCAAAUUUUGUUCACUCAGUCAUCAUCUUUCCAUUUUAAUGUGAAUUACUCUUUACACUAGUACUAUUAUGUACUUUGAGAAGGCAGUAAAAACUAGAUGUUUGGUUUAACUAUCAAGUGGGAAAAAAUAGAAGUGGACAUAUGAAUAAUUGUGAC